rnacentral:rRNA from 1 species
GAUGAACGCUGGCGGCGUGCCUAAUACAUGCAAGUCGAGCGAACAGACGAGGAGCUUGCUCCUCUGACGUUAGCGGCGGACGGGUGAGUAACACGUGGAUAACCUACCUAUAAGACUGGGAUAACUUCGGGAAACCGGAGCUAAUACCGGAUAAUAUAUUGAACCGAAUGGUUCAAUAGUGAAAGACGGUUUUGCUGUCACUUAUAGAUGGAUCCGCCACGCAUUAGCUAGUUGGUAAGGUAACGGCUUCCCAAGGCAACGAUGCGGAGCCGACCUGUGAGGGUGAUCUGCCACACUGGAACGGAGACACGGUCCAGACUCUUACGGAAGGCAGCAGUAGAGAAUCUUCCGCAAUGGGCGAAAGCCUGACGGAGAAACGCAGCGUGAGUGAUGAAGGUCUUCGGAACGUAAAACUCUGUUAUUAGGGAAGAACAAAUGUGUAAGUAACUAUGAACGUCUUGACGGUACCUACUCAGAAAGCCACGGGUAACUACGAG